CGCGGAGGCUGCUCUCACGCACUGGUGGAAGGAGAGGCCGCGCUCUCGGCUCAGCACGGUAUCCCGCGUGCUGCAGCCCACUGCCGAGCAACUUCGGGUCAUCUUCUUGCUACGUGGGGCUCCACCGUCGGUGUUCCCGCGACAGCAUGAAUCCCGAUAAAGUUAGCUCCGCCCGCAGACACUGCGGUUAGGACCUUUAUUUGUCGAGAAAGGCGGGCUCUUAAGGCGCAGGGCUCCCACCCUUUCUCUCCGGGGGCCCUGCGGCAGUCGCCGUGGCCAAUCACAGACCACGUCGUGUCGCAGCAGCCAAUCGGAAAGGCCAGGGGUAUUAAGACGCGCAUUGGGCCGCCCCUCCCCGCUUAUUGGAGGGUGGUUAGUGGGUUUAGCUGGCGUCGGCUUCCUUUCAUCCGUGUGCUCUGGUUAAAUCCAGUGCCAUCGCGCUUCUUGUGAGUCCCACCGAGAGAAUGCGAAGGGGAGAGGCAGGACCAAAGUUGAGGCGAGUCCUGUGGCAUGCCGAUGGGUCUCCAGUUCUCUGAUGCGGAGAUAAUGUAGGAGCUGUUGGUAUGGUUGACUGUAGGUAUGUGACCUCAGAGAAGCUUGAAUGAGAAUAUAAUACCAAGAUAAGUCGACUUUCAGUUCAGCUGAUUCUUUCCUGCAAGAUCCUUUGCCGCAAUGGGGGAAUUAAGAAGGGAAUAAGCUGGCAAGAAUGUGUCCAACAUUUCCAAGCAAGAUUGUUCUUUUUCCCUUUUUGUUUACUUUAUCCAGACUCUAGCCAAAAAGAUUCAUCUCAAGGAAAUGCCAGACUUUUUCCAAAGUGGCUGUACCAUUUUGCAUUCCCACGAGCGAUGGGCGAGGGUUCCAGUUCCUCCACAUUCUCAUGGGUGUGAAGUGUCAUCAUUGUGGCGGUUGCCCUUUUUUAAGGACUCAAAAGUUUGUAAGAAACUUGCUAGAGGAUGCUCCUUGAGUGCAGAGACAAUGUCUAAGGAAUUAUAUUCUUGGAGAUGUUGGAAAAAGAUUCCUGGGUCUUGGCAGAUAAUUACUAGAAAUAUGCAGAGGAGGAAUAAAAUUGAAGGGUGUUUUUCUUAGAGAACACCAUUUGUCAGAUUUAUCAGGAAUUUGAAGAUUUAUAUAAGGAACAGAAAGCCGCUGACGGUUGAAAUGGAGCAUUCACUUCUUUGGAUUGAGGACUGUAAUCAAAAACAAAUCCCAGUCAGUUUGGCAUUGAAGUUAGUUGCUGCACUGAAGGAAAAUGGUAAUUACAAGGACAUCUAUUUACUGCCAGUAAAGGCUGGUUUCCUUGUUUCAGAAGUCAGCAUGAAUUGAUUAAUGUUAAGCUGCCUGGUGAAGCUACAAGCUCAGAUAAGGAUGCUACUGUGAAAUUUGCACUCAAGAUUCCAAGAAUUACAGGCAGUCUUUGCUUUGCACAGUAGUGAGAGACUGUACUAUGCAAAAAACUGCAGGAUAUGGAUGGGAUGUAAGUGGAGUUAGAAGAUAAAGAUGGCCUUGGGAAUGCUGACACUGGUGCCAUUCAAGAAAUAGUUAUAGAUACGCAGGAGGCAGAACGUAGUGAAGGCGAAUAUAAAGUUUUACGUGAGUAAAGCAGUUGUAAAGGAUGAACGCGUCUCAGAAGUCAUGCUGUUGAAAAACUUCACAUUGAAGGAACUUUCAGAGAUGUUUCAUGACAUUGACAGCACAAAGGAUAAAAUUUUGGAAGCUGAUUCAAACUUAGAAAGGAGUAUGACAGUUUGCCAAGGCAGAGAUAAGAUGCUCAUUCCGUGUUAUGUCAUAUAAUGUGAAGAAAGCAAGCACUUUUCAAACUACUUGAUACAUUUUUUAUAAAGAAAUAAAACAUUAUAAUUUUCA